rnacentral:rRNA from 1 species
UACGAAGGGUGCAAGCGUUACUCGGAAUUACUGGGCGUAAAGCGUGCGUAGGCGGUUUGUUAAGUCCGCUGUGAAAGCCCUGGGCUCAACCUGGGAAUUGCAGUGGAUACUGGCAAGCUAGAGUGCGGUAGAGGAUGGUGGAAUUCCCGGUGUAGCGGUGAAAUGCGUAGAGAUCGGCAGGAACACCCAGGGAGAAAUCAGCCGCCUGGGCAAGUGCUGACGCUGAGGUGCGAAAGCGUGGGGAGCGAACCGG